rnacentral:lncRNA from 1 species
AAAUGAUACAGAGUGAGCGCAUAAACAUCCCAGCCUGGCUUCCUCUAUGUAAUCUGAGAAGAGAAGAAAGAAAAAAGGAAAGUGAAUAAAAAAGGGGAAAAAAGGCACAGAAAUAGAAAGUGUGAGAGUGAGGGAAGAAGGGACCUUGAGAAGGGAAUGAGUGGGGCUAGACAUCCUUGGCAAUGAGGUCACCGUUGAUGAGCUCUCUGUAGGCAGCAACGGGCCAGCUGAACCCCCGGAAGAGCAAACGAGAGGCCAGAGGAACGUCGAUGAUGAUCUCCUUCAUGGUAGGCUUUUUCUCAUCCCUGAUGGCAAUAAGGUAACUCCGACCCACCCACCCGAUCCACCCGGCGAUGUACAGAAAGAGGACCCCAGGAGUGAUGAACUCGCCCCAGUGCCUCUGGUCUCCGCUCACGAUCAGGUGCGGCAGCCCGUCGGCGCCGCACAGAAGCCCCUGCUUCGCGUAGUUGUCGAACCGCCGCUUCGUCUUCUCCACCGACGCCUUUAUCGCCAGGGCGGGGGCG